GACGAACGCUGGCGGCGUGCUUAACACAUGCAAGUCGAACGCUGAAGCUCAGCUUUUGUUGGGUGGAUGAGUGGCGAACGGGUGAGUAACACGUGAGUAACCUGCCUCCUUCUUUGGGAUAACGCCCGGAAACGGGCGCUAAUACUGGAUAUUCACUGGUCUUCGCAUGGGGGUUGGUGGAAAGGGUUUUUCUGGUGGGGGAUGGGCUCGCGGCCUAUCAGCUUGUUGGUGGGGUGAUGGCCUACCAAGGCUUUGACGGGUAGCCGGCCUGAGAGGGUGACCGGUCACAUUGGGACUGAGAUACGGCCCAGACUCCUACGGGAGGCAGCAGUGGGGAAUAAUGCACAAUGGGCGCAAGCCUGAUGCAGCGACGCCGCGUGAGGGAUGGAGGCCUUCGGGUUGUGAACCUCUUUCGCUCAUGGUCAAGCCGCAACAAUGGUUGUGGUGAGGGUAGUGGGUAAAGAAGCGCCGGCUAACUACGUG
rnacentral:rRNA from 1 species